AGUUCUUUUUGGAGAAUUGGAACCUCACAAGCCAUCACAGGCGGUUCAUGCCUAAAACCUUUGCGGCAUCAGUUUCAAGCUCAAUCACUUCUAAACCACAAAAGUAAAAAUGCAAAGCUUUCAGUGCAAAGACAAACCUCAUAUAGAAAAUUUUCA